ACACUUGCGUCAUUGCUGCGUUUAAGCUUUCUCUGUCCCCUUUAGCUUAGUUCCUGUUAGGAGUCCCUGCUUAACCCUCCUCUGCCAGGAUGCAGUCAGCGUCCUCACAUGAGAUGAAACCUUGGAUACAGACCGUUAGAAAAUGGGCCGCUAAAGGAGAAGCCACAAAUGGCCUUUGUUUCACCGAGGGUCCUGACAGCAGCUGCCCAGGCCGGUCAUCCCAGCUACUCAGGAAGUUGAGGUCUCAGAACAAGAAGAGUUGGAAGACGUCGAGUGGUGGGACUCGGAAGAACUUCAGUCAUUCAUUAAAUUGUCGCUUUUCCCAAGGGAAUGUUCUGGAAACCAUAAUCAUUAACACUGUGCAGGGCUCUGCAGCCUAUCAAGUGGAUACUGGGCUCUGCUUCCUUGGUUUAUCCCCUGGGGGUAUGGGAUGGGCAUAGUGUGGUCAAGGUCUGGAGUCUGGGUAGCACAUGGCAUGACCUGGACACAACCUAGCGUGACCUCAGAGCUGCGUCCUGGUGCAGGGCUGUGGGUGGUGUUCUCAACACCCAGCCCUCUCCUAUCCACUUGUCUGAAACGCUCUGGUCUUUGUGAUUUCAGCCCACCUUGGUCGGCCCUGACUUGAAGGACCCAGGGCAUGUGCCACUAACUGCCCACUCCCAAGAAAAGCUCAAAGUUGGAGACAGGAACAGCAACAUAGUCUCUGCUUCCCUGGGGAUUCAGACUCAAGAGGACAUGGCCCAGUCGUCUUCUCAUCCCCACCCUGCCCAGCCUGAAACGGUGUCUGACUGACAUUCAUCGAUGGAGCAGACUAAGAAUUCAAAUGUCAAGGACCCCAGGAGUAUCCUGCAACCACACAGCAACACACGUGAUAUCUAGCGUAGCCUCCCAGACACUGGCUGGUGGUCUGUAUGAUACUGGAUGUUCCAAAGCCUCUGUGAACAGACACAAAGGUAGAGGUCACUGGCCUCUAUUGCUAAUGUCCUCCCAUACACCUUUGAUCCACUCUAGAACCUUCUAGCAGGCCUGCUUCCUUCCUAGGAACUGUCUCUGGCUUCUUGCCAGCAAUUAGUCAGGACACUGUCGGCAAAACUGCCCUUCAGCAAUUAGUCUGGACUUAAGUUGUUUUCGAAAGAUGAAUUUAGAAGUAAUUUUCCAAUUAACAGCGGUUGUCAAAUAAAGGGGGGACAAAGUCUCCGUCUGGGCCCAGACAAGUCCAUGGUGUGGCAGUCUGGAAGCUCUUGAGGGGCCUGGGUGAUGAAUGCAGAGCUGGUGGCCUAGGAACCAAUUAGCUGUGGCUUCUGUUGCUCAUGGGGGAGCAGCACAGAGCAGAGUGGGCCUGCCUGGAGUGGAGUUCAGAUGGGGCAAGCCGCGGCAGCUGAGCUAGCAGAGCAGAUGAAGGGAUGUGCUCCAGAACUCCUGGGUUCCUAGCCCGUCACAGUGUGCAUCUUCGUUUGAUGGAACACUUCUGAGUUUGCGUUCCUGAUGCCUGGGUUAAAAGACGUAAUAGCUACCAAUGUCUGUUCUAGACAAUAAAGCCUAAAGGCUCAGGGUCGGUGGAGGGUGUUUGUCGUGGGGCUGACAUCCACUGGGGGACUUUUGUUCGGAGUAGUUACUCUCUGCAGAACUGUCACAAGGCGCUUUGUGUCGUUUUCUUCUGCAGUUAUUUGUGUGAUUCCUGGUUCCCUCUUCCUACCCCAGCACAGAGGCCUGAACUUAGCUGCUCUCAUGAGCCAGGCAAGCCUCCUCCCCCUGAACGACUCCUCAGCUCUUUUUAAACUUUGGGUUUGAAACAGGAGCUCACCAGAUCACCUAGACAGGCCGUAAACAAUCCCUCUGCCUCAGCCUCCCAGGUAGCUUGGGUGACAGGCCUGUGCCACUGGGCCUAGCUGUGAUACUGCUUCCUUAACGGUCUUGUGUUGAUGUCACAGGACAACCAAUGCCACAGAGAGCCUGGAGGAGGGGAUCAUCUUGGUGCUGAUUCUUGGCUCUGGGCCUGGCUGGCAGUUCAGGCCUCCAGAUGCCUGCUCCUUUCAGGUCUCUGUGGGGAACUAACCAGACAUAAAGGGCACUGGGACAUCCAGAAAGGACUAGUUGUUUUUUUUAUUUGAGAACAAAAGUACCAUCUCUUUAAGGAGACAGAUGCCAGUCUGCCACCCCAGAUACUCUGUCCCUUGUAGCUACUGCUAAAGAUCCUUUCCAAACGGUCAAAGUCUGAAAGGCUUGUCCUAACCCCACUACAACAUUGGACUUGAACCGUCUUGAGCCUCAAGUCUCUUUAUCAGCAGACUAAAAAGACACUUCAGUUGUGGGAGUACCUCUUAGUUCUUGUCCUCAAAGAAGGAAAGAAUUCAACCAAGAGACGGAUGUGAAUUAAGCAGCAGUUUACACAAUAAAGCUAAAUAUAACAAACAGAGAGACUGGCAUAUGCUUUCCCAAGGCAGGGAGCAGCCCAGUGAGCUGCUAAGUGGUUUUCAAGCAAUGCAUUGUUAAGUGAUGAACUGCAAAGACGUUUCUGGGGACAUCUCUGAGGUGGGUAGCAUCUUCUGGGGGGAAGGUGUUGAUUAUAGCCAGGCAGAUGCCUCCUUGCCUCAUGUCCUGUGGUUUUCCCUUCUCCAGCCUUUACCCACACUCUUGUCCAGCUGUUGUGUGACUUCUCUGGGGAGAUGUGAACAUAUGUCUCCUCCCUCCAGAGAGAGGAUCUGACAAGUCCAACUUAGUGAGCU